AAAUUGAAGAGUUUGAUCAUGGCUCAGAUUGAACGCUGGCGGCAGGCCUAACACAUGCAAGUCGAACGGUAACAGGAAGCAGCUUGCUGCUUUGCUGACGAGUGGCGGACGGGUGAGUAAUGUAUGGGAAACUGCCCGAUGGAGGGGGAUAACUACUGGAAACGGUAGCUAAUACCGCAUAACGUCGCAAGACCAAAGAGGGGGACCUUAGGGCCUCUUGCCAUCGGAUGUGCCCAGAUGGGAUUAGCUAGUAGGUGGGGUAA
rnacentral:rRNA from 1 species